GGGAACAAGACUAAAAACUAAAACAAAGGUUAGCAGCAGCUUUAUACUGAUGAAAUCCCUGAGGUUCAGAAGCAACUGAAUGCCUAUAGUCUACUAGAAAGUGUACAGGUGCUGGGGUUGAGUGCCUUGGUUCUGGAAUUAGAGAAGCUGGGUUUAAGUGCUACACCUUCCACUUAUUGACUGACAUUAGUUCCCUACAAAGAAUAGCCUGCUCCAGUGCUGGCCUGAGAUUUGGACCACAACAAAUGCUCAGCGUAGCAAGCUUCUAGAGUCAGCAAGAGAUCCUCAAAUUAAGAUGGAGUUCCAAGGCAAAGAUUAAAUGUGUAUCACCUGGUAACAUAGGCUAAACUGAGGAAGCCGAGUCAAACCUAUGUGAAGACCCUUCUAGAAAGCAUAAACUUGUAGUCUCAUGGAAGCCUGAUGGGCCCAAAAAUCUGAUUACAUGAAGAGGCAGGUCUAAAAAGGAGUCAUGAGUGUGGCUUUGACCAGUGGAGUUGAGUCGCUUCAAAUUUAUAGAUAAUCCAUAAAGUUCUGAAGAAAGAACCAGUCUGAACUAAAAGAAACAGAGGCUGUUGGGGGUUUGAAAAGGACUUUAGGCCUUCAAAUUUCUACAAUCAAGAAGCAGGCUGCGAAGACAGCCCAGCAAUCAAAAGAGAACAUAUUUUCCAAAGGCUUCAUCAGGAGUGGACAAUGAGGAUGAUGGAUAGUGGUGUAGCUCAUAGCAGAUACAACCAAAGUCUGGGUAAUAACCAACUAGAGAUGCACUUCUGAAGCAUCGGGCGGAUCAGAACCAGUGCUUGAUCAACAGAUAUACCCCGUCCCAAAGUAUGGUGGGUUGGCAGCAUUUGAUCAGUUGGAUUUUCAGAAUUGCUAUUGGAGCAACGGCCGCUGUGUGAUUAGCCUCUACCAUUUGUAUACUGGGUACACUGGGUGGGACGGAGGGGAGGAGGUUCAGGGUUACUUUUUUUUUUUUUUCCUAAUUGACCUACUGUACUCUUUUAUUGUCUUUA